CCCGCUGAUUUCAUUUUGCUCUUAUUUCUUUCCAAAACAUUUACAACAAAAAUAUUGCAGCUCUAAUCUCCACGCCAAGAUUCCAAUUCCCACUCACAUACAGCUCAGGUGCACAAUCUGUAUAAACCCACCAAAGUCAUGCGGUAAUAUCUUCAUUCUCUGAACUGUAAUUGGUUAAAACAGUUUCCAGGAUAUGGAUGUUGACAUGAGAACCGCUAUUAAAAUCUGUUGAAAUAUUCUCCUUCUCUGAGAAUAAGUCCAAGCAAGUAUAAAAUUCUGGUCUGCCCCGACAAUGUAUGAUAUAGAGCUUUUUUCUAAUCAAACCGACCCACAGCACAGGGAUCGCAUCUUAUCUUAUAUAUCGAAGGUUUUAUCUUUUUGGUUGAGGUGAUCAAAUGAUGGUGGGGUUAUUCGUACUGGGUUGUACAGGAGUCGUGGUGUUCCUUCACGGAGCCAACUUUUUCUUCCAUGUUAUUUCCCAGAACUUCGCCCUUCGUUCUCUCAGCUUUCUGGGAUUUGCUGGCUGGUAGAUGAGAAGAAGAAUAGGUACGAGAUAAGCAAAUUGUUUCUUGGACGCAACAUGUGAUGAAGAUGGAGUACCUGGCGUUACGCAUUUGUAAAGGAUUUAUGAAAUCUUAUAGCAGAUUGUAGAAGGCAAGCUACUACUAUAACUGGGCAAGCAACAAAAUAAAUGGAAGGAUCCGGGCAUUGAAAUAUAGGCUCAACCAACUACUACUAUUUUCUAUUGUGAAAAACCCUUUUAAUUUUUGUUUAUGAAUCCACCCGUAACUUGUCUUAUAAUCUUCUUGUUCCUUCCCUUAAUCAUAGUAUGAUAAUUUGUUCCGAUGUUUCACUAUGGAAGUGAGAGUUUAUGACUGGAUAAUGCUCCUCACAAGUAAUUUAACCACUUAAUUUGGUGAUUUUUUUU